rnacentral:rRNA from 2 species
GUUGUAUAGUCAAGUAAUGAAGUGCACAUGGUGGAUGCCUUGGCAGUCAGAGGCGAUGAAAGACGUGACAGCCUGCGAAAAGCGUCGGGGAGGCGGCAAUAUCCUGUGAUCCGGCGAUAUCUGAAUGGGGAAACCCACUUGUCAUAAGACAGGUAUCGUAAAUUUAUUUACGAGGCAAACCGGGAGAAGUGAAACAUCUCAGUAACCCGAGGAAAAGACAUCAAUAGAGAUUCCCCUAGUAGCGGCGAGCGAACGGGGAGGAGCCGACUGAUUAUAAUUUAGAGGAAUGACUUGGAAAGGUCAAUCGUAGAGGGUGAUAAUCCCGUACUCGAAAGGUUAUAAGAAGCAUAUUAAGUAGGGCGGAACACGAGAAAUUCUGUCUGAA